rnacentral:lncRNA from 1 species
UCCACUAAGCUUCAUAACUUACCAUUGUACCAUAUGUAGAACCUCCCCCUGUUCCAUAUUUCAGAUAUAAGCACCCAUUUAGUUUGUUCUGUAUAUUCACUUACACAGCAAUUCAUUGCUUAACACAAAUCAUGCCACCACUAGAAAACCCUCAUCCCACAUCCUAGUCUGACAAAUACAUCUCUAAUGGAAAAGUGAAUUUAAUCAUGAUACACAUAAUACAGAACGUACAUCACCAAAAUACGCGAUGACGAUAAAUAAAAUUCAUUAUCCAACAACAAAAAAUAGCCCCAUUGAAACUUUCGACCUAUCUAAAACACAUCCACCAAAAAAAUUAAAAGGGCCUGGUCCAUAAAAGAACCAGAAUGGGAAUACAACACAAUUAUAACCGAGAACACCCAAGAACAACAUUCCAGCCGCAAUUCAACGUCGCUAAAUUAGAUAAUCAAACACAUAAAAUUCAAUAUUUAACUACUUACUAUAAACCCAUAUAUAUUGUUUAUUAGAACCAAAACAUUAAAAGGCUAUUAGUUGUAUAAUCAAACGGAUAUAAUUCAACAUCUAUAACUAAGGUUCAACACAAUUAACAUACAUAACUAAACACCCUAUAAACCCAUACAUACUAAAUUAAUACUCCAUAUAUCCGGCUAUCUCAAUAAUUUAAUUAAUUUCUUUACACUUUUCUUUUUUGACAUCUUCUAGUUUCCUUGCAUCUCAAAACAAUCUAAAAAUAGUAAGCCUAUGUGAAUUGUGAUAUAAAAAUUACUCUUACUUGCGGUACUAGUAUCAUCCACUUUCUCAAAUCUACGCUAUUCUUACAUUUUUCACUAUUCUAUACAAUUGUCUUUCAAGAAAUAUAUUAUAAAAAUCGAAACAUUAAAAAUCUGGUCGGCCAAAACACGGGCUAAAACAAAUUUGAAAAGAGUAGAGUACCUCGUAGGGAUUGGUCUGAAUGAGAGGUCUGCCAAGACGCUUGGCAAUCUCUUUCUUGGCUUCGAAUGCUUUCUUGGAAGCUUCUCGAUUCGGGUCGAGCUGACGAAGACCCACGAACAGAACUAAGCAACUGAAAGCGGCACUGGCUGCAUAUAAUAUCAGUUCUUGUAAGAACUUCGUCUCUCCACCCUUCAUCUUGUUCAAUUUUUCGGGGUUCGCAGGAGCUAAGAUUUCUUUGGUGUCGUGGAAAGAUGAUUUGGGUGCUUGUAGCUUCAGUAAAGCUGAUUUAUCUGGUUAAAAAUUUAUUAUUUAUAAUUAAAGUUUAAUGUUUAUUAGUUGAUUAAAAUUUGAUUUAAUUAUAUUUGUUGAUUGAUUGUUAUUUUUCAUAGAAUUUAAUUUUUAUAAUUUUUUAUAUUAUAAAAUGGUAUUACGAGCAAUAAAUAUUUCCAUCAUCAGUCUAUUAAAUAUUUUUUUAGUAUUGAUAUAUGAGAGUGUGAGAAUGUUUUUUUGUUUAAUUUUAAAUUAUAAUUGUCAUAUUUCAUAUGUGUUCGUUCGUGGAGGAAAUAUAUUGGGUCCGUUUAUUUAACAGAAGCAGAAGUUGCUUCUGCCUUUUACUUCUCUUGACUCGUUUGUAUAAAGAAGUAGAAACACUUCUAAGAAGUUAAGAGCUGAAAAUGUAGCUUCUCUCACAGCUUCUGAUUCUUUUCCAAAGAUUUUAUUAACUUAUUUACUUCCCACUUUUACUCUAUUUUUCUAAUUUAUGUCAUAUUUUUUUUAAACUAGCCCAAACGGUCUCAUUGUUUAUCGAUUCUUGUUUUUCUUACGGCAGAAACUCGAGGACCGGUUCCCUGCGAGAAAAUUCCGGCCUAACGAAGUGGGAGAAUGACCGGUUCAUGCAGCGACUCCUUUAUCGUUAUCAACCUUCAUAUCAAAUCCAGUGACAUUAAUUUCAUGAGGGCAAUCCCUGAUCUAAAUUUCAAAAUUGAAGCAAAUUAUUACAAAUUCAAAUUUGAAUUUCCCAUUAUAAAAUACUCUCCCAUUUCAAUUUACAUGUUCAGUUUCAAUAAAAAAAAGAUAAUUUUUUUAAAUUUGAUAUAAGUUCUUGCAAGAACUUCGUCUCUCCACCCUUCAUCUUGUUCGAUAAUUUAAUGUUGUUUUUAUGGGGUUUUCAGGGUUCGCAGGAGCUAAGGUUUCUUUGGUGUCGUGUAAAGCUGAUUUGGGUGCUUAUAGCUUCAGGCGUAUAGCUGAUUUAUCUGGUUUAAAAUUUAUUAUUUAUAGUUGAAAUUUUAAUAUUAUCUUUUAGUAUUUUGGUAUUGAUUAAUUAAAAUUUGAUUAAAUUUUAUUUAUUUAUCUAUUGUUAUAUUUCAUAAAAUCUAAUUUUUAUAAUUUGUUUAUAUUAUAAAAUGGUAUUACGAGCAGUAAAUAUUUCCAUCAUCAAUCUAUUAAAUAUCUUUUUAAUAUUAAUAUAUGAGAUUGUGAGAGUGUUUUUUUUAAUUAAUUAUAAAUUAUAAGUGUCAUAUUAGAUAUUACAUAUGUGUUCGUUAGUACUUAGUAGAGGAAAUAUAUUGUUUAUCGAUUCUUGUAUUUCUUGCGGCAGAAACUCGAGGACCGGUUCCCUGCGAGAAAAAUUCCGGCCUAAUGAAGUGGGAGAAAUGAGAAUGACCGGUUCAUGCAGCGACUCCUUUCCUUUAUCCGUUAUCAACCUUCAUAUCAAAUCCAGUCUGACAUUAAUUUCAUCAGGGCAGUCACUGAUCCAAAUUUCAAGAUUGGAGCAAAAUAUUUCAAAUUCAAAUUUGAAUUUCAUCUAUUUUAUUAUGAAAUAUUUUCCCGUUUCAAUUUACAUGUUCAGUUUUAAUAAAAAAAAAGAUAUUUUUUUUAUAUUUCAUAUUUAAAUUAAUCUAUCAGAAACAUUCUUCCCAAAUAUUCGAAACUAAAAAAGGUUUAUAAUUUAAUAUUUUAAAUUUAAAAGUUUUAAGAAAUUUCCUUACACAAACGUAUGAAGUUGGAAAAGGCGAUUUUAAUUUUGAUUUUUAGUUUCAAAAUAAUAUUUUGAAACUUAAAUAUUUUUUAAUAUUAACUAUUUAUUUUAGAUAAUUUUUUCUUCAAUAAUUUUGAAAAUAUUCUUUUCUUCCAUUUGAAACUCAAAAAGGUAACUUUGAUGUUUUAAAAUGAUCUUUUUGACAUAUUUGAAGCAUUUUACCUACAUGCUAGAAAUAGAAAGUAUAAUUUAUUUUUAUAUCCGAAGUUAAAAAAUUUCAGAAAAUCCAAGAACUAUUCCAGAGACAUUAGGUCAAUACAAGCAUCUCCCUCAUCAAAUUGAUGAUUUAUGAAGAAUCCAUUCUAUGGGGACGACCUCCAUAUAUAAUUUUUUACGCUGGAUACUUUUUUCUUAAUAAGAAAUCCAUUAAUUAAAUUUGGUUAACGUACUAGUUAAUUUUGAUUAACUACCUACAGCUAAACAAAUAUCUAAUCUUUGAUUAACAACUUUGUUGAGUAUUACUUUGAAAAGCUGCAUUAACUAAUUAAGUAUUCUCUACAAAACCCCUCUGUAUCGAAUCUUGCCUUUUUUCUAAAAGAGAUGUUAACUUUACCCGAGCAAGUGGAACUCAAAUAGAACCAAUCAACUCAUGACUCAUGUCAUCACAAAAAAUCAAAAGAAUAAUAAAAAGAAGUGGAUGUUAGAAAUUUAUAUUUCUACGGCUCUUUCCAAAAUAUCAGUCAGCUUUACCUGUGUUCACUUAUUUUAUAAGAAUAUAGAUCAGAAUAUUUCGCUUCCUUUUUAACGUAAAUUUAAUAUGUCUUUUAAUAAAACAACAAAUAUAUAUAUAUAAUUAUGUAAGAACUUUUUUUCAUUUUAGUUAUUAUGAAUUUUCAUUUUACAUAAUCAUAUGAUAUUUGGAAUGAAAAAUCAGAUAAAAAUAAAUGUAUGAAUUUAUUUUAGCUCCAAUCUCAUUAAUAAUAUGAUCUAUGCACAAAAAUUUUCAUAAAUAAAAAUCUGAAAAAUAAUUAUUAAUGUGUCGCAUAUUCGAAAAAUUAACAAAAGUCAAAAUUCAAGAGCAAACCAUAAAUUCAUUUCCUAUUGUUAUCAUAUUUUAUUUUAAACAAUUUAAUUAAUUGUCAUAUAAAAUAUAAAUUAGGUGAGACAUUUUUCACUCAAUUCCGAGUAUAUUUUAACAUGUUAGCAUUAGAUUUUUACCUUUGAUUUUUAUUUAUUUUUUUUUUUUUUGACAAAUGCAAGAAAAUUUCAUUAACUUGAACAUAAUACAGUCGGGACAAACCCCUAACUGCCAAUACAACCAGGUGGUAAAACAAAUAACAUACUAAAAACAAUUAGAUGAUUUGUUUCCACCUUUGAUUUUUAUUUAUUUUUUUUUUUUUUGACAAAUGCAAGAAAAUUUCAUUAACUUGAACAUAAUACAGUCGGGACAAACCCCUAACUGCCAAUACAACCAGGUGGUAAAACAAAUAACAUACUAAAAACAAUUAGAUGAUUUGUUUCCUGAUCGUUUAACCCAUAGAAUUUAACAAUUCUUAAAGUUAAAAACGAAAUCAAAGACAUCCCAAGCGAUCCAAAUUGCACCAACACCUCUGGAAAUAAUAACAUCGCAAUUGACCAUAUCACAUAAAAACCAUUGUUAGCCCAAUGUUCACAAACACCAAUCGCAUAAAUUGAGAUUGGAGAAGCGGUACCACAGCUAUCUACAUGCCGGACACCAGCUAUAGACAUGCCAAAGACACCCCUACUAUCUACAUGCCAAAUACCAGCUAUAGACAUGCAGAAAGUGUAAACCCGUGAAUGAUGAACGAUCUUUGGUUGUGAAAGGUGAGCUUUUGCAAUAAUCACCACCGUCCCAGAUUCGAUAUUUUUAAUUUUCAAACAAGUGCAAAAGGUGAAAAUCUAUUAAAUCACGAGCGUGGGACAUGUAAUAAAGUCAACAAAUCUAUCGAUCUGCUGAAUCAUAAAUGCCACUGAGAGAGGAUAAAAAAACAUCUCGAAUUUCGAUGCACCAUGUUUCCAACACACGCCAAAAAACCAAACCCCUUUACUUCUGAAUUCAAUGAUGUUACAUCCCAACCAAAAGUCUUCCAAAUCUUUCCAUUACAUCACUAUCUUCCCAUCUGUAUCCACAUUUCUAAGAUACAUACAGAAUAGUAAAAAUACCCAGUUUUUAAAAGAGGUCAGUGGGAAGGUAAUGCAAUUCUAGCCCACCAGUUGUUUACCUAAGAUGUCACUUUUGAUUGUGCUGCAGCAAGUACUACAUACCUCAAAUUUAUGUGUAGUACAAUUUUUUGCAGUACAAGAUGGUUAUCUUUUUAGCACCCAUUCUCCUUGAGUGAAGACUAUUCAAUGAGCCAGCUCUUCUUGAUUGGUAAAGUUCAAACCUUUAUGCAAGAAUAGUAUUUAUAUGCAUGCAUAUACUGUUUUAUUUGACAAAAUUUGAGUUGGGUAUUCAAGAAUUUGUCUUUGGAGUUGGUUGUGAAGUGGAGUUUUGUUAAAAGGUUCUUCAAUUGAAGAAACAAGGUUUUUCUUGAUUGAGCUCAAUAAAGAUUCCAUCUUUAUUUAUCAGAGAAGAUUUUAAUCAGGUUUGGCUGAGUUAUAUUCACAUUUCUUGUUUAUCUAUACUUUUUUUUUUUUUUUUAGUUUAGAAUAUGUUUUGUGCAUAAAGUUCUGAACUUUUUGUUAAAUAAUUGAAUUAUAGCAGAUACUAGUUUGGAACUUUAUUAAUGGGGAGCAAUGAAAUGGAAAUAAGUAGAGAGAUUGAGAAUGAUCAAUUGGGAGAGGUACGGAAUGAGGUAGAGGAUGUGAAGAGAUUGCCUCCAUGGACAACUCACAUUACGAUUCGAGGAAUUGUUGCUAGUAUAGCUAUUGGGAUCGUUUACAGUGUUAUUGUAAUGAAGCUUAAUCUCACCACUGGGCUUGUGCCUAAUCUCAAUGUUUCAGCUGCUUUGCUUGCCUUUGUUCUAAUUAGAACGUGGACAAAGUUAAUUCAUAAGGCUGGAUAUGUUUCGUCGCCCUUCACUAGACAAGAGAAUACAAUCAUUCAGACUUGUGCGGUAGCAUGUUAUAGUAUUGCUGUUGGAGGUGAGUUCAUUUGAUUCAUUCCUCCUAUAUAUAUACAGGCGUUUAUUAAAAUCCAAACAAUUUUGCCCUUUUAACUACAAAUCAGUCAUUCGUAUUCUGAGACGGUGAUUAGUAAUGUGAUUGGUGAUUUAUAUAUGGUUUUAAGAGUUUGUAGACUAAAUGUUCUGUAGCAGAACAUGACAGUGUGUGCAUAUAUAUAUUUACUUCCAACAGGGAUUUAAUGCAUGGUCUCAAUAUUAAAUAGACAACAGCUAAUUUAUACAUUAUUCAUUAUAGGGGGGUUUGGUUCUUAUCUGUUGGGAUUGAACAAGAAUACAUAUGAGCAAGCAGGGAUCGACACAGAGGGGAAUUCACCAGGUAGUUACAAGGAACCUGCUGUUGGUUGGAUGACUGGCUUUCUCUUUGUUAGCAGUUUUGUUGGGCUUUUGGCCUUGGUACCUCUGCGAAAGGUAAAUCUUUAUAACAACUGUUAUGUUCACAGAUCUAUUUCACUACAUUAGUGGUAUCUCGUUUACCUUGAUCAGUCCUAUAUAUGAUGAUACACGUGGCGGUUUCCUAAUUGUGUAUUAUCAUGUUUAUUGUUCUACAGAUUAUAUGCUCGUAUCUUUUCGCUAUCAUAUGGCCUUAUAGAGAGGUUAGGUGAAAAUUAUACUUAAUAAUUUUAAAAUUUUAUUAAUAAUUAGCUAUUGAAAUGAUCAAAGAUCAAUUAAGUUGAGAUAUAUUUUUUUAAUGAAAAUAUGAUGAAAGUUGGCAUGGACUAUAAAGUAUAAACUAAUGAAGUAUCGGUUUGCUCAUUCAUUCGGUGCAAAUGGCAUGCUAACAAAACGUGGAACUUAUACAGCACCACCUUCUAUUUGUUAAUCCAUUGACUAUUACAGAUCUACCAACAAUAACAAUAUUUUAUAUAAAAUAUUAUUUUACUAAAUCGUGAUCAAACAACAUUAACACUCACUGGGAUCCCAACACUCAUCAAUAGGUGGUUUGAUUUAACUUAUAUGAAAAUAACAACUUCAAACUAUGUCUGACUAUUUUUAUCUAUUUAUAAGUUAUCAGUUAUAAAAAUUAUUCAUAUUAAUAAUAAAUUAUUAAUAGAAAUACGACACCUAACUAAAAUUUUUUUUAACGUGCGUCAUUUGCACGCACUAGAAAAUAGCCCUUAUAGUAUUUAAGUUUUUCUAUGGUGUGCCAUAGACACAUGUUAAACACUAAAAUUUAUAAGUUUAGCUGAUUUUGAUCGGCUCCUACUUCUUUACCGAUCACACCAAUCAAAAUCCACAAAACUUGUAGAAUUUGGUGCUUAGCAUGUCGCCAUGGCACACACUGGCCAAACGCUUAAGAAAAUAUCCGUUGUAGUAUUUAUAUAACAAAGUUAAAAAUGGUCUACAAUGAGCUGCCCGUCAACAACUGGGGCACCAAAUUCUACAGAUGCGUGCUACAGUUACUAGCAUAUUGCUGCAAAGCCUGCAAUAGCUUAUAGCCAUGGACUGCAGAACACCCCACCACGAAGAAAAGAAACAUUUAAGUGUUGCUUCCAUCAGUCAGAUAAGAGGAGAAACAAUUUAAAUAAUGUCAAACCACAAACUGCAUAUGUUCUUCGGCUUAGUCCAUCUGCGAUACUGCACAGACAUCAAAUGCUAGUUUCGCGUUAGAAGUGGGUGAUCACCGCUAGACACAAUGCAAUUGCAGCCUUUUCCGAUACUCAAUUCAGUCAGUCUCAUACCAGUCAGUAACGCAGAUCAGUACCUGGUCAGAGAAGUUUUCCUGAUUCUGAAGAAGUAGUGAGAGCGGACAAUAAUAUUUUGAUUGAAUAUGAUAGAAGUCCAAAGCAUUAGGAGACUCAUAACAAUCCUAACCUGAGUGGCAAUCAAUCCAAUAUAAACAACUUUCAGACACGACUGAUUCAAAUUUCAGAUCCAUGACACAAAAGCUAAUCAGUUCGUUCAUAGAAAGCUAUGUAAUCUUUGACACUAAUUUAAUUUAAAAUGUAAAAUAAGAUUAAACUGACACCGUGUCAACCAUUUAUAUUAUUCAGAACUCAGAUAUACUGAAAGAUGAUAGAGUACACUUCAUGCAGAUAUAUUUACGAAACUCAUACUGUCUGGCAUCAGGACAUAAAAAACAGUUUCCUAGAUCAUUGUUAAAACCUCAAGGAUCUUGGUCCUCCGCCUGAAUAUUUAAAACUUGGGACACCAUAAGCUUAGAUAGCUCACUAAGUGCAGCUCGCACUUGAUUAUCAUCCGGCUCCCUAUUGCCUGACCAUCCUGGCAAUUGUGAACUCAUCCUCGUGUAUUCACUAGCAGCAGCCUUUGAUUUUCUUUUUGUAGCUAGAACUUUCUCAAGAUCUGAUUGUGAUAAUGGCCUGGGUUCCUGAAAAUAUAAUAAAGAUUGAAGACUCAUCAAGAAGAACAUGGGCAAAAACAAUAAACUUAUUGAAAUUUUUGUACUCGAACUUCAUGCAUAUAUUGAAGACCAGUAACGAGGAAAUGGGCAAGGAAAAGAAAAACCUUACUGAGCAUCUCUGGCCCCAACAAAAUAAUAAAAAGAAGUAUAACUGUUUGAACAAUUGUAAUGAAUUGGCCAUAUUGAAAAGAUUAUACUUUACAACAUUAAUAAUCCAACCGACCCUACGAAGCGAGGACAGUUCCUAGAGAAUCACAUCUCAAGCAUGGACACAUAUAUGUGGCGGACACUGCCACUCCUACGUACUCUUAGUCACAUCCCUGACAAUAUAAUUUUCUUUGGAUAUAAAUAUCUCCGAUGUCAACAUUCUAACCUCAGCAGCCCAUUUAUAAGUAUUAGUGUACAUAUCAGUUCCCCCCAUUUUUCGCAGAUUAAUGUGCAAUCUAACGUAACUUCAUUAUUUAAUUUUAUUAUACUGACUACUAAUUUUGGUAUAUACUAAGUCACACUGUGUAAACCUCUAGGUGAACCAACUUAGCCUACUUCAAAUUUAAGCAAGCUUGAAGACUUCAGGUCCUAAUUAUCAUGAACCCUUACACAAAGGUAGGUGAAAAUUCCUAAAGAGGGUGGUUCAAUUAUUGUGUGGGGAAGUUUUCUCAUUGCAAUUUCCCAUCCCAGAAGAAUGUCCAGGCUUCUAAUAGUCAAAUAUCAGAUUUUUCAUAAGUAAAUAGUAGUUGACCUGCUAUUGAUUGGAAAAGUUAAUAAUCUGUGCUUCUGAAAGCUACAUUCAUUGUACUAAAUAAUUAAUGAUAUUGUUCAUUUAGAAUCAAAGAAGUAAUAUGCGAGAAAAGAAUACAGACCGAAGAUUCGAGUCCACUCUUUUCAGCAUUAAGAAGGUCCCUGAUGGGAAAAUAGGCUGCCUGCUUGCACAGCUCAAGAAGAUCUGAGCCACUAUACCCAUCACAUAAACCAGCUAUGUGAUCAAAGUCAAUUGAACUCUCCACCCUCUCCCCCUUCAAGAUAACCUUUAAUAUAUCAACUCUACCCCUGCGAUCAGGUAAUCCAAUUUUAAAAGCCUGGGGGAGACGUCUUAGUAUUGCUUCAUCAAGCUCUGAUGGACGAUUAGUGGCCGCAAGAACCAUUACCCUUGCAUUUUCUACAUAAAAAUAUAAAAAAUGAGUAAAACUAGCGAAAAGGUAGCUACUGAUCCUGAUCAGUGGUCACAAAACACAGUUAUGACAUGGAAAGAGAAACUGAGAGAUCAACUUUAAUCAGGGUACAUUUUUAUAAAAAAAAAUCAAGAGAACAUACGAUCAGUGGUGAAACCAUCCCAUAAAGCCAUGAACUCUGUCUUCAUGUUUGUUAAUGCUUCAUGGUCGCUAGAACGCCGCUGACCCAGAAAGCUGUCGACCUCAUCAAUAAAUAUAAUAGCAGGUUGGAGUUUAUGGGCCAAACUAAAUACAGCCGACACUGCAAAUAAUUUUGCAUAUAUUAAAGAAACAAACAACCUAAAUAUAAAAGUAUUGGGACUAGAACACAGGAACAGACUAAUUUAAUGCACAGGACACGAAGCCCAAGACAACUACAGAACCGCAGACACGGUUGAGACCAACCACAAUUCUUUUUAAGGAAUUUUCUGAAAAAAGUAUAUAAUAAUAAUCGAAAUUUAUAAGCCAAGUCAAUCAGGCUGAUAUGUAAUCCUCCCUUACCAGCCAAGCUGCAACUAUAUUACAAUUACUGCAAAAAAAAGGCAAAAGUCCUUGGACCAAAAGCUAAGUAGAGCUAUCAGCAAAAAAACAAGUUUUAGAACUAAGUAUUUAAAAUAUAUAACUGGUCACUGCAAAAGAGAAAAAUAAGAAUCAAGCUUGAUAGAAUUUUUAAUCACAUGUCUAAUUAAAGACUAAAUGAAGUAACAACUAAUAAAGAUAUAAUGACUAAAGCAAAAACCCACUCACCAAGUUUUUGUGCAUCACCAAACCACUUGCUCAUAAGAUUUGCUAUUCUUACGUUAAUGAAAACUGCCCCCGACUCUUUUGCAAUAGCUUUUGCGAGCAUAGUCUUUCCUGUGCCUGGAGGCCCAUAUAACAGCACACCUUUCUGAGGACCAAGGAGUUUCCCAUGUGAAAAAAGUUCUGGCCUACAGAGUGGGAGAAUGACCAUUUCAUGCAGUGACUGCUUAAUGCUAUCCAGCCCUCCAAUUGAAUCAAAUUCCACAUCAAUGUGAUCAGGAUUAAUAACAUCACAAGCUAUUACAUCCUGCAAGGCAUUAUUUGAAAAGUUAAACAUAGCGAUUACAUGGAUCUUUAAACCACCGAAGGAAUCAUGCUCUAGGGGUGUCACCAUGAACGAACUAGAAAAUGAAGAGAAGGGAGGUGACAAUUACACUCAAAUAUAUUUUACAAUUAAUUUUAAAUUUAGGAAAAAUAACUAAAUGCUAUCGCUAAAUCGCUCAAGCACACUAAUCCGCAGCCUAACUUUCAAAAUCUCUGCUGCCCUAUCUCUCUACAUCAUCCCAAUCUGAAUCUCUACAUAUUUGCAGCUUGUCCUCUUCUGUUUGCCUACAUGCUACAGCACAAUUAUUUGAUUUCUUUCUUCUCUAAUUUUUAUUUCUAUCUGACAUCUGGAUUUAAAUAUUAAUUUUUUUGUUGUAUCUCUCUUAUGCUUGCUGCUUGUUCUUAGGGGUGGUAAUUUUGGGUCAUGGUCUAGGUUCAUGUUGGCCCACCUAAAUUAAAUCCUGUUUCUAAGUUAUUCUGAACGCAGCAAGAAAUUUAAAUAAGAAAAAAUAAUUAACACCCUCAAGCUUUGUUUACGUAAAAUAAGGAUUUACAACAAAUCAAUGGAUGGUUAGUCGGGUACCAAGAUAAAGCAAAAGAACCACAUGAUCCUUGCACCAAUAUCUGAAAAAUCAAGAUGGCAGAAAUACUUGCAAUGACUAACAAAGUGAAGCAAAGUAAACACGGUAGAGAAUAUGUAAAAGGGAGAGAUGGAAAAUAUGGUAAUAGAUGAGUUGACUACAGGAAGUAGAAAUGGGAUGGGUAUGCUGUUGUGGAGAGAGAUACUAGGUAAAAGAGGUUAUGAACUUCGGGUUGAGAACAGGGUUCCGAAGUGAGAACAAUAGAGAACGAGGGAAUGAAUGAUAGCAGGCAGAGUGCACCUCAGGUUUCGGAUACAGGGUUCAGAAAUAUGUCCUUAAUUGUAGUAUGUUUUCAACUUUUGAGUAUAAUUACGCAGUACAACUAUAAUGUUAUAUACUUAAAUAAGUUAUACCAUUUCCGAGGGUCAAGGCUACUGCUAUGGUAGUAACAUUAGCAGGUCGCUUCGGGUUUUUUGGAUCGACCCAAAGAUGACCCUAUUUUUGGGUAAUUGCAACAAAGAUGCAAGGAAAUUUAAGAUACCCCAAGAGAAAAUCAAAAUGAAUAGAAAACUUCAAUAUUUCAAAAAACCCGUGGAUAUUAAACCCAAAUAUUUGACUGGGAGUACCCUGCAAAUGAGCUACAUCUACAUUCUAUUUUCUAUGGAAUUGAACGAUGCUCUUGAAUGCACGAUGAUGCAUCCAUUUUUCCUACAUGAAGCAUUGUUAAACAUUAUAUAAAAGGAAUCAACAUAUAUAUGCCAAUAAAACAAACUACCUAGAAGUUCUUCAUUCUCAUUUAGCUGAAAUUUUGACUCAAAACAAACAUUGCUAUGUUUAGGUCCUAGAAUUUAAAUUUUAAGCUACUACUAACUCCACUAAGCUUCAUAACUUACCAUUGUAUAAUCACCCAUUUAGUGUGUUCUGUAUAUUCACUUACACAGCAAUUCAUAGCUUAACACAAAUCAUGCCACCACUAGAAAACCCUCAUUCCACAUCCUAGUCUGACAAAUACAUCCCUAAUGGUAAAGUGAAUUUAAUCAUGAUACACAUAAUACAGAACCUACAUUACCAAAAUACGUGAUAACGAUAAAUAAAAUUCAUUAUCCAACAACAAAAAAUAGCUCCAUUGAAACUUUCAAGCUACCUAAAACACAUCCACUGAAAAAUUUAGAAGGGCCUGGUCCAUAAAAGAACCAGAAUGAGAAUACAACACAAUUAUAACCAAGAACACCCAAUAACAACAUUCCACCCGCAAUUCAACGUCACUAAAUUAAAAAAUCAAACACAUAAAACUUAAUAUUUAUCUUAGGUUCAACACAAUUAAUAUAUAUAACAAUACUUACUAGAAACCCAUAUAUUGUUUACUAAAACCAAAACAUUAAAACGCUGUCAAUUGUAUAAUCAAAAACAUCUAUAACUAAGGUUCAACACAAUAAACAUACAUAACUAAACUCCCUAUAAACCCAUACAUACUAAAUUACUACUCCAUCUAUCCGGCUAUCUCAAUAAUUUAUUAAUUUCUUUACACUUUUCUUUUUUGACAUCUUCUGAAUUCCUUACAUUUCAAAACAAUCUAAAAAUAGUAAGCCUUUGUGACAUAAAAAUUACUCCUACUUGCGGUACUAGUAUCAUCCACUUUCUCAAAUCUACGCUAUUCUUACAUUUUUCACUAUUUUAUACAAUUGUCUUGCAAGAAAUAUAUUAUUAAAAUCGAAACAUUAAAAGUCUGGUCGGCCGAAACACGGGCUAAAACAAUUUGAAAAGAGUACAGUACCUCGUAGGGAUUGGUUUGAAUAAGAGGUCUGCCAAGACGCUUGGCAAUCUCUUUCUUGGCUUCGUGUGCUUUCUUGGAAGCUUCUCGAUUCGGGUCGAGCUGACGAAGACCCACGAACAGAACUAAGCAACUGAAAGCGGCGCUGGCUGCAUAUAAUAUGAGUUCUUGUAAGAACUUCGUCUCUCCACCCUUCAUCUUGUUCAAUACUUUAAUGUUGUUUUUAUGGGGUUUUCAGGGUUCGCAGGAGCUAAGAUUUCUUUGGUGUCGUGGAAAGAUGAUUUGGGUGCUUGUAGCUUCAGUACAGCUGAUUUAUCUGGUUUAAAAUUUAUUAUUUAUUAUUUAUAGUUAAAGUUUAAAGUUCAAUUUUUAUUGGUUAAUUAAAAUUUGAUUAUAUUAUGGUUAUUUUUUAUGCAAAUUAAAUUAUAGUUAUUGAUUGAUUGUUAUUUUUCAUAAAAUUUAAUUUAUAUAAUUUUUUAUACUCACUCUGUCUCAAUUUAUUUGUCUUGUUUGACUUUUUAUGGUCAAAUUGACCAAAUUGGUCAAUUUUAACUGAACUUUACAUAUAUAAAAUCAUUAGAAAAAAUUAUGAAAAAUAUAUUACUAGAUCUAUAUGUAUUCUACUUUAAAAUGUAUUUUUUCAAUUUUCAAAUUUGUGUAAGAAUAAUUAAUAAUUAAUAAUCAAAAUUCGGUCAAUUUGACUACAAAAUGUAAAACAUGACAGAUAAAUUGGGAAAGAGGGAGUAUUAUAAAAUGGUAUUACGAGCAAUAAAUAUUUCCAUCAUCAAUCUAUUAAAUAUUUUUUUAAUAUUAAUAUAUGAGAUUGUGAGAGUGUUUUUUUAUUAAUUUUAAAUUAUAAUUGUCAUAUUUCAUAGGGAAAAUAGAUUUUUUUGCCACCCAACUUAUUUUUUGUUUAGAAACCUACCACUGAACUAUAAUUUUUUUCUUUUUUGUCACUAAUGUUAGGUUCGGACUUUUUUUUGUCACUAACGUUAGGUUCGGACUUUUUUAUUAACACUAUGUUAUUUUUUUAGUAUUAUUAAUAUAUAGUGUUAGUCUGCAAUAUAAUAGCGAUCUGAUAUGUGUCUAUAUCUUUAUGUAGUGUCCUAGGUAGUUUACCUUGGAGGAUGAGAGUUGGACACGCAUUUUGAGACUCUAAAAAAUUUCAAAAAUUAUUUUAUUUUAUUUAUUUUGAAUAAAAUUUAAUGUUGGUUUUUUUUUCCUUAAAAAAACGUUGGAUUUUUUUUUUGUCACUAACGUUAUGUUUUGAUUUGAUUAUUAACAAUAUGUUAUUUUUUUAGCAUUAUAAAAAUAUAGUUUAUCGAUUUCCCGAUUUCAUAUGUGUUCGUUAGUAAAGGAAAUAUAUUAGAGGAAAUAUAUUGUUUAUCGAUUCUUGUUUUUCUUGCGGCAGAAACUCGAGGACCGGUUCCCUGCGAGAAAAAUCCGGCCUAACGAAAGUGGGAGAAUGACCGGUUCAUGCAGCGACUCCUUUAUACAUUUAGAGGAGAGGAGUGUAUUGAAUCGGGAUUUUAAAAUAUUUUUUUGCACUUACGAAAUUUGAGAGUAUUCGAUUUGGAUCGUUUGAAAUCCAUUAAAAUCUCGACGUAUUCAAUUGGGAUUUCAAAUUAUGCUAUAAAAUCUG